GCGACCGUAGCUCAGUUCGCAGAGCGUUUUGAUGGUACCCCACGGUCCCGGGUUCAAAUCCCGGCGGUCGCU